UACAGAGGGUGCAAGCGUUAAUCGGAAUUACUGGGCGUAAAGCGCACGUAGGCGGUUAGUUAAGUUGGAUGUGAAAGCCCCGGGCUCAACCUGGGAAUUGCAUUUGAAACUGGCCAACUAGAGUACGUGAGAGGGGGGUAGAAUUCCAAGUGUAGCGGUGAAAUGCGUAGAGAUUUGGAGGAAUACCAGUGGCGAAGGCGGCCCCCUGGCACGAUACUGACGCUCAGGUGCGAAAGCGUGGGGAGCAAACAGG
rnacentral:rRNA from 1 species